UGGGGAAUUGUUCACAAUGGGCGCAAGCCUGAUGACGCAACGCCGCGUGGGGGAUGAAGGUCUUCGGAUCGUAAACCCCUGUCGAAUGGGACGAAAGACUCGCGAGUGAAUACUUCGCGAGAGUGACGGUACCGUUAAAGGAAGCCACGGCUAACUCUGUGCCAGCAGCCGCGGUAAUACAGAGGUGGCAAGCGUUGUUCGGAAUUACUGGGCGUAAAGGGCGCGUAGGCGGCCCUCUAGGUCAGACGUGAAAUCCCCCGGCUUAACCUGGGAACUGCGUCUGAUACUGGAGGGCUUGAGUAUGGGAGAGGGAUGUAGAAUUCCAGGUGUAGCGGUGAAAUGCGUAGAUAUCUGGAGGAAUACCGGUGGCGAAGGCGGCAUCCUGGACCAUUACUGACGCUGAGGCGCGAAAGCUAGGGGAGCAAACGGGAUUAGAUACCCCCGUAGUCCCUGAGCGGGCUGGCAAGGCGCAU
rnacentral:rRNA from 1 species